GGGGGCGUGCUAUACAUGCAGUCGAACGCACAGCGAAAGGUGCUUGCACCUUUCAAGUGAGUGGCGAACGGGUGAGUAACACGUGGACAACCUGCCUCAAGGCUGGGGAUAACAUUUGGAAACAGAUGCUAAUACCGAAUAAAACUCAGUGUCGCAUGACACAAAGUUAAAAGGCGCUUUGGCGUCACCUAGAGAUGGAUCCGCGGUGCAUUAGUUAGUUGGUGGGGUAAAGGCCUACCAAGACAAUGAUGCAUAGCCGAGUUGAGAGACUGAUCGGCCACAUUGGGACUGAGACACGGCCCAAACUCCUACGGGAGGCUGCAGUAGGGAAUCUUCCACAAUGGGCGAAAGCCUGAUGGAGCAACGCCGCGUGUGUGAUGAAGGCUUUCGGGUCGUAAAGCACUGUUGUAUGGGAAGAACAGCUAGAAUAGGGAAUGAUUUUAGUUUGACGGUACCAUACCAGAAAGGGACGGCUAAAUACGUGCCAGCAGCCGCGGUAAUACGUAUGUCCCGAGCGUUAUCCGGAUUUAUUGGGCGUAAAGCGAGCGCAGACGGUUGAUUAAGUCUGAUGUGAAAGCCCGGAGCUCAACUCCGGAAUGGCAUUGGAAACUGGUUAACUUGAGUGCAGUAGAGGUAAGUGGAACUCCAUGUGUAGCGGUGGAAUGCGUAGAUAUAUGGAAGAACACCAGUGGCGAAGGCGGCUUACUGGACUGUAACUGACGUUGAGGCUCGAAAGUGUGGGUAGCAAACAGGAUUAGAUACCCUGGUAGUCCACACCGUAAACGAUGAACACUAGGUGUUUAGGAGGUUUCCGCCUCUUAGUGCCGAAGCUAACGCAUUAAGUGUUCCGCCCGGGGGAGUACGAACCGCCAGGGUUGAAACUCCAAGGGAAUUGACGGGGACCCGCACAAACCGGUGGAACCAUGGUGGUUUUAAUUCGAAACCACGCCGAAGAAACCUUUACCAGGGUCUUGCCAUCCCUUUGAAAGCUUUU
rnacentral:rRNA from 1 species